AAACUGAGGCUUAGAACACAACUGAUCAAAAAACGAACCCAGAAAGGUCAGCAGCCAGGUCCUGACAUUACAUCCGUGACCCGCCAGAUUCUCACAAAGGAAGGCAGGCAGAGACGGGGUAUGAAGGAGAGAACCGGCAGCACAAUUUUAGGGAAAACCAGAAAGAACUCAGACCUAGCGGCCUCGCUCUGCGAGAGGGACUGCCCGGUCACGUGGUUCAAAAGGUUCACCUGACCAGGGCCCUGGGCAUCCCGGGGACCACACCCCUGUCCUCUCCCUCUGUCCUCUCAGGCCCUUAAACAAGCCAAGCAGCCACUCCUCAGGCCUUGGCCUUGCAGUUUCCUCUGUGCUCCCCCAGCUCUGCUCACGGUCAGCUCCCCUCAACCCUGGGCCCUGCUCCAGAGCCUUCCCACCGGACAGUAUCCUCCCUCCGCCCACCCCAGGAGCCCACGAGCGUAUCACCCAUGACUCCUUUCACGGCAUGUUCCACAGUUGGGAAGUAUCUUGUGUGCUCUCUGUUGGCCCAUUAGGUGUAAAUUCUACAAAGCAACAGCCUCAACUAUCUGGGUCACUGCCAUGUCCUCCAACCCGGAGUAGAGGCAGCCAUGGCCUGGACAGCUCAUGCCCUGUCUUAAGAGGGCAGUGGCUACUCUGCUCCACCCCAUUGUGGCAACAUAGGAAAACAGGUCCCCUGUGGCCAGACCUUCUGAUUUUUCAAGCCAGGCUGGAAUCUGGAUUUUUACAUGAGCCUUUCGGGGUGGAAAGUACUGACAAUGUUAGUACUGUGAAGUAGUACACCCAUUUCUGUGGAUGAAACAUAAAAGUCCAGCUGUGAGCCGCACUAGGGAAAAGGCUGGGAAGCAGCACGAGUCAGCUACCAACCUUUAAAAACUGGAAGAUCGUGUGUGAAAAUCUAGAUUCCUGGGAUUCCCUGAAAACUUACAAGCUCUGGCCAACACAGCCUGCUGCCUCGGCCCGGCCCAUGUGCUGUCUUACAUAACCUAUGGCGUGGGAGCAAGUGACCUCUGAGCUGGGCAAAAACAGAAAGGAAUCCUUCCUGCGCCUCCCAGGCCCCCUCCCGCCCCAGCCAAGGCCUGCGCGGAUCCCAUCCUUCUGCAGUCCCCCUCCUUCCAGGUCUUACCGAGGCACCAUCCACCAAGUCCUCCUCCUCCCCCUCAUCCCGGCCGUCUUCAA